CUGCGUCUGGGAUAUACCGUGAGGUGGCAGACCUCAAGAAAGUUGGGCGUAUCAUAUACAGACAGUUGGGGGAGUUUCCCAAGAUGGCUGAUACAUUAGUGAGAGCCGGCGGCCACACCCUCGUCGAUGUUGAUAUUAACAUUAGAAACUCAAUGGCUCAGGAUGUCUCACGAACAGGUCGAUGCGACUACUACAUGUCGAGAGAAAAAGUCCUGUCUUUUCCCUUCGUUAUGAUUCUCAAGAAGUACAGCCCUCUCACUCCUGUCAUUAAUAAAAGGGUUAUGGCAAUACACGAAGCAGGACUGAUGGACAAGUGGAUCAAGUAUAGUGUUGGAAAUGCAACGACCUGUGUGCAGGCGCCACAGAAAAUUACCGUAACCUCAAAUCUCUCUAUCACAAAUCUCUGGGUAUUU